rnacentral:ncRNA from 2 species
UUUUUGCGCAAGGGAUUGCAGUGAAAAUCCCGGAUUGCGACUUGAGGAGCAAACGGAAUUGUAACGAAAAGCCUGACCCCAU